AUCCUGAAUUAACCAAUCUUCUUUUCAAUGUGAAGUUCCCAGUAGAAACAGGAAGAAACUCCUCUCUUCUUCUAUCCAAAAUUGGAAAAACUCAAAUUCAUCAUCAAAUCCUCAUAAAGGUUCCUCCUUUGAUUCAAAUUCAUCUUCUCUGAUCUAUAUCACUGGUUUUCUUAAUGUCAAUUUGGAUUUACAGCCUUCUCUACAUCUCUCAAAACAUUCCAAAGGCGGCUCCUUUAGAUUUCUUCAUCAAUUACUCAAAACGUACAAACUUUGAUUGGAUUCAUAGUCUAGAACACUUAUCAUCUCUUAAUUUGAAACUUGCGGAUCUUUUUGUAUUGAUUUCAAUCCAUUAAUCAAUCAAUCAGUCUGGAUGAAGAGAGCAGCAGCAGCAGCAUCAAUCUAUAUGUCCAGAUUGCUAAUUGCAUAUGCAUAAGGAAGGAUCACCAUGUGCUAGUAUCAUCAGCUUUGUGUAUCACGUAGAAUGAGCUUCCUGAUAUGUUCUUGAACCAUUUUGCGAAAGAGGGUGUUGUUUAUGCCAUGUAUGCAAUUCUAGGACCAGGAAGGAUUGAUGGUUACCCGACGUUCCGCUCACACCAGCAAUGUUGGCACAGCCCAUCAGAAGGAGUCGUUAUGAUGUUGCCCGAAGGAACAUUCCUGAAGGAAAUCAUUCAUGAGGAAACCCAACCUGAUAAUCCCUUGAUUCCGACACUGACAGAGAGUACGAGAAGGAGAACUCGUCUGAAGAGAGUAGGAGGUCGAAAAGAUCUUGAACGAUAGCCUUCCCGAGCACUUGAACAGCGAGAUGGUAGAAUAGGGAGGUUCCUCCAGUCACUGCAAUAACAAAGCCGUUAGAAGCCAUCCUUAAGAUGCAGACACAAGAGAAAAGGAUGAAAAAUCUGGAUAUGAAGAAAAAUAGCCUAUGGAUUAGUAACAAUCAGGUCUCGUCUAGCUCACAGCAGAAAUUGAAUAUGAAUGAUGGUUUUAGAUGCUUAUGUUACAAUCUUAACUUAGGCAUAAGCCUCGAUCUUCAGAAAUGUGGAAGUGCAAACUUGAGAAGGAUUCCGUUCGCACUUUGACGAGAAAUCACACACAUCUGAAAUAGAACCGACUGAAGCUUUCCAGAAGCCAAGAAUGCAACAUUAAAUGAUAUGGUGAAUUCCAUGAGUAACAAUAUUUGGUCUGGUUUGGAAGAGAACUUGUUUUCACACCCUGUGUUAAAUAAUGAUGGAGCUCAGUGAAAGAGAAUCUGUUUUGGCAUUUUCUAGUGAAAGUGAGUAGUGAAAUCUGUACUUAAUUAUGCUUCCAACGGCCAGUUUUCGUAAGGAAAGGUUGUAGAGCAUCACGGGUUAUCAGAUUAUUCACUUGUUAUAAUGAAGAGGUUUGCAAUGUUUGCUAGUUUCUUUUCGUUAUCAACCAGCCUACGUUGGGAAGGAACGCCUCUGUCAGUCUUUGUAAGGUAACUGCAAGUUGCGUUAUACUUCUUUGGAGAACCUCCUGGUUAUUCUAAAUCAGAUUUCAAAGCAAAGCCUACAUAUGCUGCUAUUCCAACUUAGCAUCCGACAUCGCCUCCAUGUUUAAGGGUUCGGUUCGUGAAGGAAGAGGUAGUUCCUUUCUUAUCCAGAGAGUUCCUCAUGCUCUGCAUCUGUCGGUAAGGAGCAUCCUGGAUCAAGUGGUGUUGAUGAUUCCCAUUAGAAGUUAAAAUUUUCUUAGGUGGAAGAGAUCUAGAUUUAAGAUUGACCCUCUCUAUCAAGCAAUUCUUCAGUUACAAGUGAAGGAAGAAAAAAAAUGGUGUGAUUUCAGGCAAAAGCUUCUGGCCCGGAGUAUAUAGUAUUACAUAAAAACAGGAAAGUAUCACUGACGGCUGCCUUGUAGCUUCAUCAGAACAUCAAUCUCUCUGGUAUGCUGACAACAGUGGAACUGUAGCAUAACUUGGAGUAGUCACAUCCACUCUGGUGGAACUGGACAGAUUGUUACCACUAGUAGUGAUAGGCGCUCACUUGUGUGUAACUUUAAUCGGGAAAAGUUUCGAAUUCACUGGAUCCACAUCCUAAACUCUGCUGUUCAAAGGAUGGAUGCUCAUGCCCACCAGAAGCACUUGGAAGUGGAAUACGGUGCAGAUGUUGGUAUAGGUCUGGGUCCAACUUUGGAAUUUCUAUACUUUGGCUAGUCACGAAUUUCAGAAACUAGGCUUGCGAAUGUGGUGGGAAGAUUGCCGUUAGAAGCCAUCCUUAAUUAUUCUGUCAAGCACAUCUCAUCAGGUUGAGAGAGCUGAAAGAUGAAUGGGCGAGGAAGUAUAUGAUGCUGUAUCUUCUGCUUUGCUGGAGAGGCAUCAGAUAAACGCCAGUGGAAGAUAUCCAGUCUGGGAGUUUCAAGGAAGGAAGGCUAGCAUAAGGAUGCACAGAAUAUAAGGGAUUUAUUUGAACGUUUAGGCUCAUUAGGAUGUACUUCGGCAGUUAGUUGAUCUGAUAGGAAUCUCAUCCAUCCUGGAGGUGUUGGUUUGACUCCUUGGCGCCAAUGAUCGUAUCUAUCCUAAUUUCAUACACGUGAUGGAGUGGCCAGCUAAUAGCAAUUUGCUAGAAAUUAUUGUGGACAAACUGAACCCAUCAAGUUCUCCUGAGGCUCAAGCUAAUACAGCAGAAACACUUGGCGCCAUGUGGAUCUCUUUGUUGGAUUCAGAAAGAGCAACUUAUUCUCCAUUAGUUCACUUAAUUCGAAGUCUAUUAAUCGGGAGACUGUUAGUUCCAUGUUCAAAACUUGGAGACUUGCUUAAGCUUUUGAAUGUAUGCUCUGAUAGUAUGGUCUUACCUGCCACAUAUGGGUUAACAAAAGCAUCCUCUUGGGAAGCAUCGUAUCAAGGAGGAGAGCAUCACGUUUCAUUACCAUGGUUUAAGGAGGGUUCGUGAAGGAAGAGGAAGAGGGAGAAACGGAUGUUUGUGAAUGAUUCUUUGGAGAACUUGAAAGCGGAAAGCUUCUGAGAAAGUUGUAAUUUUGGUUCCUGGUGGUGAAGAAUGGUAAUUUUGAAGUGAAGGCUACUGCUGAAGAAGAUUUUGGUAACAGGAUGGUGAAAAAAUUGUAAAAAUCAGUGGAAAUCUUAUCAGAAGUUGGUGAUUUUGUAAAAUUUUACUGAGUUAUAAGUACCCCAAGAUUGUAAAAAUAAAUAAAAGUGGUUUUGUUUUAUUUUAUUCUCUCUUGACUGAAAUAUCCCUUAGCCACUAGGGUUUGCUUUAUAAAUACAACACUCCUUUCUUAGUUUUUCUAAAUCUGAAAAUAAGUCUGAUAGGGGUUUUAGAGAUGGGUCUUGGAGCUGUUUCAAAUUUUCAGAGAGGCUGGCAAGAAGGGAGUAGAGGGUAGCAAGAAGGGGAGUAAAGAAGAGGAAGAAGCAUCUCCACCAAUUAAGCAAAACAAAAUAGACAUAACUGCUGUUCGUCUUCUUUGGAGGGAUAGGCCAAGGCAAGUCGUUCCUGCUGGUGAAGAAAACGGUGGCGGGGGCGGCGGUGGAGGCGGCAUUGGCUGUGGUGGUGGUGAUUCUGAUCGUUGAAGAUGUUCUCCUGGUGUGAAAAUUGAAGACACGGUUGAAGGAAGGAGAAUUCAUCAUCGUCAUCGGAAUCUAUCUUUUGUCUUUUUUAGUACUUGCAUCUUUGUCUUUUUUAGUACUUGCAUUUGUAGUUAACGUUUCUAAGUGAGUCGAUGUUUGAUUUACACUUUGACGGGAACUAUGUUUAAUUUGGUGGUUAAUUGAUUGCUAUCAAGUUGUUUGGUGAGAUU